GACGAACGCUGGCGGCGUGCCUAAUACAUGCAAGUCGAACGCAGUGGGGACGGGUGAGGAACACGUCGGUAACCUGCCAACAGAGGGGAUAACGCUUGGAAACAGGUGCUAAACAGUUACUGAAGGAUGGACACGCGGUGCGUUAGCUAGGUGGUGAGGUAACGGCUCACCAAGGCCACGUUGCAUAGCCGACCUGAGGGGGUGAGCGGCAACACUGGGACGGAGACACGGCCCAGACUCCUACGGGAGGCAGCAGUAGGGAAUCUUCGGCAAUGGACGAAAGUCUGACCGAGCAACGCCGCGUUAGUGAAGAAGGUUUUCGGAUCGUAAAACUCUGUUGUUAGAGAAGCGGUAUCUAACCAGAAAGCCACGGCUAACUACGUGCCAGCAGCCGCGGUAAUAC
rnacentral:rRNA from 1 species